ACUCCUGCGGGAGGCAGCAGUGGGGAAUUUUGGACAAUGGGCGAAAGCCUGAUCCAGCAAUGCCGCGUGAGUGAAGAAGGCCUUCGGGUUGUAAAGCUCUUUUGUCAGGGAAGAAACGGUGAAAGCUAAUAUCUUUUGCUAAUGACGGUACCUGAAGAAUAAGCACCGGCUAACUACGUGCCAGCAGCCGCGGUAAUACGUAGGGUGCAAGCGUUAAUCGGAAUUACUGGGCGUAAAGCGUGCGCAGGCGGUUUUGUAAGUCUGAUGUGAAAUCCCCGGGCUCAACCUGGGAAUUGCAUUGGAGACUGCAAGGCUAGAAUCUGGCAGAGGGGGGUAGAAUUCCACGUGUAGCAGUGAAAUGCGUAGAUAUGUGGAGGAACACCGAUGGCGAAGGCAGCCCCCUGGGUCAAGAUUGACGCUCAUGCACGAAAGCGUGGGGAGCAAACAGGAUUAGAAACCCUUGUAGUCCC
rnacentral:rRNA from 1 species